rnacentral:rRNA from 1 species
AACGUGGGUAAUCAACCCUUCAGCUUGGGAUAACGAUCUGAAAGGAUCGCUAAUACCAGAUACGACACGAGAGACCUCGGUUUUCGUGGGAAAGCUCCGCAAGGGGCACUGGAGGACGAGCCUGCGGCCCAUCAGCUAGUUGGUGAGGUAAAAGCUCACCAAGGCGAAGACGGGUAGCUGGUCUGAGAGGAUGAUCAGCCACACUGGAACUGAGACACGGUCCAG